GAUGAACGCUGGCGGCGUGCCUAAUACAUGCAAGUCGAGCGAACGGACGAGAAGCUUGCUUCUCUGAUGUUAGCGGCGGACGGGUGAGUAACACGUGGAUAACCUACCUAUAAGACUGGGAUAACUUCGGGAAACCGGAGCUAAUACCGGAUGAUAUUUUGAACCGCAUGGUUCAAAAGUGAAAGACGGUCUUGCUGUCACUUAUAGAUGGAUCCGCGCUGCAUUAGCUAGUUGGUAAGGUAACGGCUUACCAAGGCAACGAUGCAUAGCCGACCUGAGAGAGUGAUCGGCCACACUGGAACUGAGACAGGGUCCAGACUCCUGCGGGAGGCAGCAGUAGGGAAUCUUCCGCAAGGGGCGAAAGCCUGACGGAGCAACGCCGCGUGAGUGAUGAAGGUCUUCGGAUCGUAAAGCUCUGUUAUUAGGGAAGAACAUAUGUGUAAGUAACUGUGCACAUCUUGACGGUACCUAAUCAGAAAGCCACGGCUAACUACGUG
rnacentral:rRNA from 1 species